UAGUACGUGGUCCGGGGUUUGGGUGUUAACUCGGAGACAACCCUUAAUAAUACGGCACAUUGUGACCAAUAUUAUUUAAAGCGGCCCAUCCCAGAUUUAUAAUCCUGAUGUUAAACCCUGACUCGACAUCUCUCACAGCAUGAACCGUGAAGUUCAACCCAGGAAACUGCAAAAGCAGCAGGUUGUUAUUCUCCCUGCCGAGCUGUGCUAAUGAAGAUGGGAUGCAGAUGAGGGCGGAGGUCGCCUCUGUAGCAUUCGACCCCGGCGCCCGUAGCAUGCCACUCUGACUGCCACAGGUUGAAGUCACACCCAAGUUAAUUCUUCAAUUAGCGUGAGCCAGAUAUUCCGGGAAGAUCGGAGGGCCCGCCAAUCGAUGUCCAAUUAGCGAGGCUUCGUG